UGCGAGUAAUGAAGAUCGUAAUCGCCGGCGUUAAUGGAGGAAAGUACCGGCCGUCGUCCUUCCUUCGUGUACUGCCGUAAAGCGGCGGCGAUGAGAUCAGCUACCGUCGAUUCCAACGAUAUUAGUACCUGUACAGGUCCAACACUCCUUUGAAUCGUUACAUUUAACAGCAACUUCGUUAAUUUCAUCGGACGGAUAUUCGCCGACGACGAUUCGCCGGCGGAAUUUCUGCCGCCGGCGAGUAAAUCCGGUACCGUCUUCGGCCUUCGUAGCAACUCCGUUUUACUGCUCCCUGAGCUCUGGCCGUGAAACGACUUGGAUUUCUCCGAUAACCUCAUAUCCUUUCGAUUUUUCUCGUCGUUACCUCGCCGGUGAGUUCUCGGAGAUGGCAUCAUGAUUGCGAAUUUUUUACUUGAAUCGGAGAUGGAGACCAAGAGCGGCGGCGAGAAUCGGUUUUCCGGUGACCGGCGGGGAUUGUUAGAAGAAUGGUAGAAUGGUAAUUACGAGUGAAGUAGAGGGGUUAAGUGAAAACCUAG
rnacentral:misc_RNA from 1 species